rnacentral:rRNA from 1 species
CAGCAGCCACGGGAAUACGUAGGGUGCAAGCGUUAAUCGGAAUUACUGGGCGUAAAGCGUGCGCAGGCGGUUUGUUAAGACAGAUGUGAAAUCCCCGGGCUCAACCUGGGAACUGCAUUUGUGACUGGCAAGCUAGAGUAUGGCAGAGGGGGGUGGAAUUCCGCGUGUAGCAGUGAAAUGCGUAGAUAUGCGGAGGAACACCGAUGGCGAAGGCAGCCCCCUGGGCCAAUACUGACGCUCAUGCACGAAAGCGUGGGGAGCAAACAGGAUUAGAUACCCCAGUAGUCCCUGUCUCUUAUAC